rnacentral:lncRNA from 1 species
GUUUGCAAAUUUUUCUUUCAAUGAGCAAAAGGAUUUCUUUAAUCAUUUAGCCUUGUUAUUGGUUAUUUAUCAUUUAUUCUUACAGGACAUGGUAGAUAUAAUUUUAAUCCAUAUCGGCAUAUGAAACAUGAAUGUUUAACAAUUCUUUUAAGUGAUCCUUCAAAAACUGAUCUUGCAAAAAGUGAAAUAACAAAAAUAUGGAAAACCAAGGCAAAUUCUAAACGGAAAAAGACUCUAAGGAAAUGGUCAAAUCAAAAGCUCAAAUAUGUCAGUAAUAUUGGCAAGCAUUAUUAAUUUUGUUUGAAUUUGAAACUGUGAGUUAUAAAUAUAAAAAAGCAGUUGCAUUAACAAAUCAAAUUAUUUUAACCAUUUCAUCAGAAAUAUGAAUUAAUAUGAUAUUGC